AUGGAGUAUCCGAAAAUCCAUAAAUAGAGUAGGGA
rfam:Flavobacterium sp. KMS contig037, whole genome shotgun sequence.